UUUGUAUUACGUGCGGAAAUUGUUACCAUGCAUUUUCGGCUCAAAAAUGGUAACGGUUUCCGCACGUAAUACAAA